GCGAUGGAAGUGAACUAAGCCGUUCAGUCCGUGUUGGCCACGAUUCCAAAUAUUGGAUUAACAACAACAGCCAUCUUGGUCUGCUCGUCUCUUCUAUACAACUGUGAAAGAUGAUUUCUUACAACUCAGGCAACUUCCGACUAGCAGAUCUACUUUACCUUCAGAAAUAAGACUCCAGGACCAACAUGGACGCUCCUGCUGUAACCGGGCUGCAGCAGAUUUGCAUAACAGAAGGUGACAGAGUAACUGUCUGGCAGCACCGCCAUGCUGAAGGUG